rnacentral:rRNA from 1 species
AUUGCCCUAGUAACGGCGAGUGAAGCGGCAACAGCUCAAAUUUGAAAUCUGGCGCAAGCCCGAGUUGUAAUUUGUAGAGGAUGCUUCUGGCCAGCGGCCGUUCUAAGUUCCUUGGAACAGGACGUCAUAGAGGGUGAGAAUCCCGUAUGUGACCGGCGCGCAGCCUUUACGUAGCUCCUUCGACGAGUCGAGUUGUUUGGGAAUGCAGCUCUAAAUGGGAGGUAAAUUUCUUCUAAAGCUAAAUACCGGCCAGAGACCGAUAGCGCACAAGUAGAGUGAUCGAAAGAUGAAAAGCACUUUGGAAAGAGAGUUAAAAAGCACGUGAAAUUGUUGAAAGGGAAGCGCUUGCAACCAGACUUCGUAGCGAUGUUCCGCCGGUCUUCUGACCGGUCUACUCAUCGUCGCGAGGCCAACAUCGUCUGGGGCCGCUGGAUAAGACCUAAGGAAUGUAGCUUCCCUCGGGAAGUGUUAUAGCCUGUGGUGAUGCAGCGUGUCUCGGGCGAGGUCCGCGCUUCGGCAAGGAUGUUGGCGUAAUGGUUGUCAGCGGCCCGUCUUGAAACACGGACCAAGGAGUCUAACAUCUAUGCGAGUGUUCGGGUGUCAAACCCCUACGCGUAAUGAAAGUGAACGGAGGUGGGAAGCGCAAGCUGCACCAUCGACCGAUCCUGAUGUCCUCGGAUGGAUUUGAGUAAGAGCAUAGCUGUUGGGACCCGAAAGAUGGUGAACUAUGCCUGAAUAGGGUGAAGCCAGAGGAAACUCUGGUGGAGGCUCGCAGCGGUUCUGACGUGCAAAUCGAUCGUCAAAUUUGGGUAUAGGGGCGAAAGACUAAUCGAACCAUCUAGUAGCUGGUUCCUGCC